rnacentral:rRNA from 1 species
UACGUGGGGAGCAAGCGUUGUUCGGAUUUACUGGGCGUAAAGGGCGCGUAGGCGGCCAGCACAAGCCGGUUGUGAAAUCUCCGGGCUUAACUCGGAAAGGUCAACUGAUACUGUGCGGCUAGAGUGCAGAAGGGGCAACUGGAAUUCUCGGUGUAGCGGUGAAAUGCGUAGAUAUCGAGAGGAACACCUGCGGCGAAGGCGGGUUGCUGGGCUGACACUGACGCUGAUGCGCGAAAGCCAGGGGAGCGAACAGG